AGGACAAACGCUGGCGGCGUGCCUAAGACAUGCAAGUCGGACGGGGGGCUUCGGCCUCGAGUGGCGGACGGGUGAGGAGCGCGUGGAGAACCUGCCCCGGGAUGGGGGAUACCAGCCAGAAAUGGCUGCUAAUACCGCAUACGAUUGCCGGCUGGUAAGGCUGGUAAGGAAAGCCGCAAGGCGUCCUGGGAGGGGUCCGCGUCGGAUUAGCUCGUUGGUGGGGUAACGGCCUACCAAGGCGACGAUCCGUAGCUGGUCUGAGAGGACGGCCAGCCACACUGGGACUGAGACACGGCCCAGACUCCUACGGGAGGCAGCAGUUAGGGAAUUUUGACAAUGGGCGCAAGCCUGAUCGAGUGACGCCGCGUGUGGGAUGACGCCUUUCGGGGUGUAAACCACUUUUCUUGGGGACAGCAAGGACGGUACCCGAGGAAUAAGCCUCGGCUAACUACGUGCCAGCAGCCGC
rnacentral:rRNA from 1 species